rnacentral:tRNA from 1 species
GCCCGCUUGGCUUAGGGGUAAAGCGUGUCACUCGUAAUCUACGUCGAGUAUGUAAUCACGUGAUAUGACAAGAUCAGUCGUUCGAAUCGGCUAGCGGGCA